UGGUGUGUGCUUGCCUGAAUAAAUGCUUGAAUGCUUGAUUGCAAAGCAUCCACUCUCGACUCUUGGCAUUUGUUCUGGUGACCGGGCUCGGUGUUCGCGACAGUUGGCGUAGUCGGCAGGAUCCUCGGAGGACACAAUUCCAGCUCCAACCCCAGCUUGGAGGAUCGAGGAGGACGAACACCCGGAUUGACUCCACUCUACUUGUCCCAGACAAGGCAAUUGGCAGAGACAGGAAGAAUAAGGCCCUAUAUACGACGGACAUCGUCGCACAGGGACCAGGACACUCAUUUUGGACUACAUCAGGUAAAGGCGAAUUACGCCUCACCAAGUCUGAUGAUUUAAUUGCAAGAUGAU